UUUUUUAAAUUCAUUUUUCCUUAAAAACAUUUUACCCUUUUGUUUUUUUUAAAAAAAAACCCUAAAAUUUUUGUGAUGUUCUCUCAACCUCAAGCUGAAUGGUUCACAACCAGGCCUUCCACCACCGCCUCAUACCUUGUCGUAGACGGCCACCGAAAGGUACAUCCAACCUCUCCCUUUUAUUAUACCUUAGUAUAUAUACCGGAUUCGAAUGAAAAUAAAAAAAGAAAAGCAAAACAAAAUAAAAUAAUGAUGAAUAACCACCUUCGAAGUGAAUUUUUUGUUUGAUCUCUAUUGAUUUUUAUGUGAAUCUUGUAUUUUCUCGUAUUCUAUUUCUCUGAAAAAAAGGUAAAAAUAACAUCCCAAAACAAAGAAUAUUUGUGGCGUUUUAUAGCCAUUUUUACAACUGUUACUUGCUAUUUCUUUGCUCACGUCACAGGUCACGAAGACGUGAAGGAGGAACGGGCGUGGGGCGUGCUACACGCGAGCUAGGGCAGACGUGCGAGGUGGAGUGCGUGGUUACUACCGGUGGCUGCGUUCGUGCGGCACAUGGAGUAGCCUAGGGUUAUUUUCUUAUUUGGGCUAUUAUAGAGCUUUGGGCUUUAGAAUUUGAGUCAAAGUUAUUUGGGUUGUUUUAUGUAUUUGGGCUGGUCUUUAUAUUUUUAGAUUUAUUAUUUGUUUUUACUUUUGUUUUGUAUGUGUAUAGGCUGUAAUUGGGUAUUUGGGCUGGAAUUAGGUAGCCCGAGCAAAAUUUGGGUCUCACAGCUGGCCCUCUUUAUGCGUUGUCGUGUAACGAGAAUGAAGCAAAGACUACAAAAAGGCCAAUUUUGCCCGGCCUUGCCACAUCUCGACCUCUUUAUGCUAAUCUUCUUCAAGUAGCCCCAUUCCCACCUACUGCAUCUUCAGGGGUAUAGGAAUUGUGAUUUCAAUCCACUCUACAUCUUCGGUCUACUCUAUUGCGACUUCAGGGGGAUAAAACUUGUAAUUUUGAGCCUGCUCCACUACAACCUCAGAGAGAUAAGGCUGGUGACUAAAUUCUGCUCCAUUGUUGAUACAUGGUGAUAAGAUUCGUCAUCCUUGAUCUACUCCACUACUGCUUAGGGAGAUAAGAUCUGUAAUUUUCAGUUUGCUUCCUUGCUACUUUAGGAAGAUAAGACUUGCAUCUUCAAUUUGCUCUCUUGUUACCUCAGAGAGAUAAGGCUGGUGGAUAUUUUAGUUGUUUAAGUUUAUUUGGUUAUUAGUAGUGGCUCUUUUAUUUUCUAUUUUUUAGUUGCUAUAUAAGGCUAUAUAAUAGCCUAGUAUUUUUAGUUUUACUCAAUACAGAAGAUCAUUUUCCUCCA
rnacentral:lncRNA from 1 species